rnacentral:rRNA from 1 species
UGUCUCAAAGAUUAAGCCAUGCAAGUGUCAGUUCAAGCCUUAAUACGGUGAAACCGCGAAUGGCUCAUUAAAUCAGCUAUAAUUUCUUAGAUCUUGGUGAACUUGGAUAACUGUGGUAAUUCUAGAGCUAAUACUAUCAAAAUGCGUCAUUUCGGUGGCAGCGGAUUUAUUAGAUCAAAAUCAACUAGCUGCUUGCAGUUAUUAUUUUGGUGACUCUAGAUAACUUUUACAGAUCGCAUAACCUUGUGUUGGCGGUGUAUCUUUCAAGUGUCUGACCUAUCAACUGUUGAUGGUUGUGUAACGGACAACCAUGGUAACAACGGUAACGGGGGAAUCAGGGUUCGAUUCCGGAGAGGGAGCCUUAGAAACGGCUACCACAUCUAAGGAAGGCAGCAGGCGCGCAAAUUACCCACUCUCAGCAUGAGGAGGUAGUGACAAUAAAUAACGAUNGCGGAACUCUUAUGAGGCUCCGCAAUCGGAAUGAGUACAGUUUAAAUCCUUUAACGAGGAUCAAUCAGAGGGCANNUCUGGUGCCAGCCGCCGCGUAAUUC